rnacentral:tRNA from 1 species
GGAGAGAUGCGAGAGCGGUUGAAUCGGACGGUCUCGAAAAUCGUUGUACUCGCAAGGGUACCGAGGGUUCGAAUCCCUAUCUCUCCG